AUAGCAUAUUAAUAACCUGUGGAUUGGAAAUUUUAAUUUAACAAAACAAAACAAAAAUUUUAUUUUUCAGGUUUUAAAGAGAAUUUAGAAAUUGAGCAAAAUUUUACUAAAUUAUAGUGAUCUUAGGAGCAAAGUUCACUUCGUUUGUGUUAUUGUUAAUCAAAAAUAUAAAAGUAAACAAAAAAGAAAACUACCUCUAUCUAAUUUUGUCGAUGUCCAUUUCUUAAGAAGUUUCUCAUUAAAACAACCCUUAACUCAGGCAAGGCAGGGCUAAGGUGGUUAGCGUAACUACAAGUGGUUAACUUACAGUUAGCCAACUGAAGAACAAUCAACAAUGCCCGAUUAAUAAGUGAUCGCGCUGCUUGUCUACUACAUGUCCCUGCACUAGUUAUAGCAGUAAUUUCUUUGUUGGGAAGUAUUUAGCACAUCCGGGCUGCGCAAAAGGAGAGGACUAAAUUGAUUAUUAUGAACAGACCAUUAUGAUGAACCACUGAUAUUGACUCAGAGACAUGAAGAUGAGUGCUUUGACAACAAGACUGACUAGCUGAGCCAGCUUAAGAAUUAUGUGGUGUGUGUGUGUGUCUAAUUCCAGGAGCUCUAUGUCAGCCAUCCAUCUAUAUUCUUACUCAUUUUUGUUAAUUAUAAAAUAAAUUUGAUUAUUUAGUGUGUAACUUCAUUGUACCUAUCCUGCUAGCUGUUAGAAAGAUAGCAUCUGUAAUAAUUUAUUUACGGUAAAACAUAUUUAAAAAUAAACAUGCUUUAACAUUUAAGUAUGGCCAAUAUGUUGUCAAGUACAGUGGGCAGGGCUGAAUCCAUGAUUGAUGACUGAUCCAUGAUGAUGACUUGUUUUUCUGAUUUAAGAAAAUAUACUAAUCAUCAAAACAGUGUCUGCAAGUACUGUACAGGCCGACUGUUUGGAUGAGAAGUAUAUAUUUGAUUUAUUUUUAAGCUGUGUGGGUUUAAAAAAUGUCUAACUGAAAAUCUAUGCUUACUGUAUUUAUUACCGUUAUCUAUACUUAUAAUAAAUCUGUAGAGAGGUCAAUUCUGUACAUGAAAUAUAUUUCCAAAAUAACUAUCAGGGGGUGAUAAGUGAUCGAUACUGAUGCCAAAAAUGCAAUCAGUAAAAUUUUUGUCUGUCUGUCUGUCUGUCUGUCUGUAUGUUCUUUAUAGAAACAAAAAGUACUGGACGGAUUUUAACGAAACUUGGUACAAUUAUUCAACAUACUCCUGGGCAGGUUAUAGUAUACUUUUCAUUAGGCUACGAUCAAUAGGAGUAGAGCAGUGAAGAGAAAUGUUGAGAAAACGGGAGAUGUUACUCAAUUUUUUAAGCUUCCGUCGCGUGUACAGCCUUAAUGGUUAAAGCUACAUAGAAAUCAUGUAUGACGGAAAUGUUCUCCUUAAAAUUAUCUAUAAAAACACAACAGCAUAUAUAUGUCUAUCUUUUUUGGUUGACUCACAAUAACACGUGUAACUCCCGAUAGCUUAGCAGUUCCGAGCUUUCUAAUUAUAUUUGUCUACUCUUAUGUUUAUAACACUCAUCACUUAUCCCUAAUAAGAAAGUUAACAUUAUUACCUAUUCAAUAAAAAAAAGAAUCAUAAAAAUCGGUAAAG